rnacentral:rRNA from 1 species
AGUGAACGCUGGCGGUAGGCCUAACACAUGCAAGUCGAACGGCAGCACAGUAAGAGCUUGCUCUUACGGGUGGCGAGUGGCGGACGGGUGAGGAAUACAUCGGAAUCUACUCUUUCGUGGGGGAUAACGUAGGGAAACUUACGCUAAUACCGCAUACGACCUACGGGUGAAAGCAGGGGAUCUUCGGACCUUGCGCGAUUGAAUGAGCCGAUGUCGGAUUAGCUAGUUGGCGGGGUAAAGGCCCACCAAGGCGACGAUCCGUAGCUGAUCUGAGAGGAUGAUCAGCCACACUGGAACUGAGACACGGUCCAGACUCCUACGGGAGGCAGCAGUGGGGAAUAUUGGACAAUGGGCGCAAGCCUGAUCCAGCCAUACCGCGUGGGUGAGGAAGGCCUUCGGGUUGUAAAGCCCUUUUGUUGGGAAAGAAAAGCAGCAGGUUAAUACCCCGCUGUUCUGACGGUACCCAAAGAAUAAGCACCGGCUAACUUCGUG